rnacentral:rRNA from 1 species
UACGGAAGGCAGCAGUGGGGAAUAUUGUACAAUGGGCGCAAGCCUGAUGCAGCCAUGCCGCGUGUAUGAAAAAGGCCUUCGGGUUGUAAAGUACUUUCAGUCGUGAGGAAGGUGUUAAGGUUAAUAACCUUAGCAAUUGACGUUAGCGACAGAAGAAGCACCGGCUAACUCCGUGCCAGCAGCCGCGGUAAUACGGAGGGUGCGAGCGUUAAUCGGAAUUACUGGGCGUAAAGGGCACGCAGGCGGUUAAUUAAGUUGGAUGUGAAAUCCCCGGGCUUAACCUGGGAAUGGCAUUCAAGCUGGUUAGCUAGAGUCUUGUAGAGGGGGGUAGAAUUCCAUGUGUAGCGGUGAAAUGCGUAGAGAUGUGGAGGAAUACCGGUGGCGAAGGCGGCCCCUGGACAAAGACUGACGCUCAUGUGCGAAAGCGUGGGGAGCAAACAGGGAUUAGGAUACCCGU